AUUGAACGCUGGCGGCAUGCCUUACACAUGCAAGUCGAACGGCAGCGGGGGAGAAGCUUGCUCUUCCUGCCGGCGAGUGGCGAACGGGUGAGUAAUACAUCGGAACGUGCCCUGUAGUGGGGGAUAACUAGUCGAAAGAUUAGCUAAUACCGCAUACGACCUGAGGGUGAAAGUGGGGGACCGCAAGGCCUCAUGCUAUAGGAGCGGCCGAUGUCUGAUUAGCUAGUUGGUGGGGUAAAGGCGUACCAAGGCGACGAUCAGUAGCUGGUCUGAGAGGACGAUCAGCCACACUGGGACUGAGAAACGGCCCAGACUCCUACGGGAGGCAGCAGUGGGGAAUUUUGGACAAUGGGGGAAAGCCUGAUCCAGCAAUGCCGCGUGUGUGAAGAAGGCCUUCGGGUUGUAAAGCACUUUUGUCCGGAAAGAAAUGGCUCUGGUUAAUACCUGGGGUCGAUGACGGUACCGGAAGAAUAAGGACCGGCUAACUACGUGCCAGCAGCCGCCGUAA
rnacentral:rRNA from 1 species